rnacentral:tRNA from 1 species
CAGGGAGACAACACAAUGAUUUUGAUGCCUGAGUGCUUUUAUUCUUAGGCCGAAAUCCUGUCACCUUAGGUCGAUCGGUACCUCAGCUUUGAAGUCAAGGAUCAGCAGCAAUGUUGAUUGCUUGAUGGAGAUUUUCAGUUCCUAAACUUUGUCUAGGUCACACCCCAAAAGGGAUGAGACUCCUGGGCCAUUAGCUCAGGUGGUUAGAGCGCACCCCUGAUAAGGGUGAGGUCCCUGGUUCAAGUCCAGGAUGGCCCAUUCGGUGUUGGGGGUUUAGCUCAGUUGGUAGAGCGCCUGCUUUGCAAGCAGGAUGUCAGGAGUUCGAGUCUCCUAACCUCCACUGACCGAACUUGAUUCCCAUCUCCAAUUUUUUUGGAGUCGAGCUCGAUUGGAGUGUGAUUUAGAUGUGUCCGCUGGAUGACCCCAGCUUCCUGUCAUUCCAAGUUUUAGGUUGAUGCCUUGAAUUUGGUUGAUAAGAUGCUGGGCUCGGAUCAAAUGAUCAAGCAAUUGAUGAUUUGAUUUGAAGUUCUAGCAGAACCUUGACAACUGCAUAGGUGAGUCUGGAAAAAACAAAGCAUCUUACAGAUGCAUUGUUUUGAAUCUGAUCUUCUGAAAGGGAGAUUGGAUCUAGAACAAUGAAAAUUCUUUUGAGCAAGAGCCGAGACUCUUGAGCGUUCUUUGAUUGGUGUCGAGCCAAUCAGAGUUUGAUCUUGUUUUUAGCAAUAAAAACUUGAGAAUCUGCUUUCAACGGCGGUAAGCGUUCAGGAGGUUAAUU